rnacentral:rRNA from 1 species
AUGGAUAUAAUUGUUCCUGCAGUCGUAGGUGAUAUUGUCAACAGAGCUGUAUCCUUUGCCAUCAAGAAAUGCUUGCAGCUUCCAGACAUCGACAAGAAUCUGGAGCGGCUACAUCAGUUGCUUCUAAGAGCCCAUACCAUCACCGAGGAGGCCGAGGGAAGGCUUAUCAACAAUCGAGAGAUGCUUCAACAGCUGGGGAUAUUGAUAGAAGGGAUGCAGAGAGGCCACUAUAUGCUUGAUAACUUCAAAUGUCGAGCCCUUCAACAAGGGAGAGGGGAUGAGCAGGAGGAUGCUUGCAUUUGGAAGCGCAAAUCCUGA